rnacentral:miRNA from 1 species
GGGCCAAGAACAAUAGAAACU